UCUCACUACUGCACUUGACUAGU
rnacentral:piRNA from 1 species